UUUCCUUUGCGACUUCGAUGAUUUCUCGUCCGAUGAUGAGGACGAGAUCUUGGCUACCGAGUUGGUCCAUCUGCACCUUAAUAGCCAGCAACCGUUGUUCCGUGGCUCGAUCCCGGGACAUCUUCCGGUGUUGAAUCGUAACCGAGAGAGCGGCCAUUUCCUUGUUUGGAAGGACUACAUUGGCACAAUCGUAUUAAGCUAGCGACCGUUGUUCCGUGGCUUGAUCCCGGUGAUGACAGC
rnacentral:lncRNA from 1 species